UGGCGGACGGGUGAGGAAUACAUCGGAAUCUACUCUGUCGUGGGGGAUAACGUAGGGAAACUUACGCUAAUACCGCAUACGACCUACGGGUGAAAGCAGGGGAUCUUCGGACCUUGCGCGAUUGAAUGAGCCGAUGUCGGAUUAGCUAGUUGGCGGGGUAAAGGCCCACCAAGGCGACGAUCCGUAGCUGGUCUGAGAGGAUGAUCAGCCACACUGGAACUGAGACACGGUCCAGACUCCUACGGGAGGCAGCAGAG
rnacentral:rRNA from 1 species